rnacentral:tRNA from 1 species
GAAGCGAUUCGACUGAUAGAAAUUUCAAAAAAAUCUCGGAAUAAAGUUCCUAAUUUCUUGAGCAA